GAGGGUACAGCUCAGUGGGAGAGCACAUGCCUCGCAGGCAGGAGGUCCUGGGCUCCAUCCCCAGUGCCUCCA
rnacentral:tRNA from 1 species